AUGCCUCGCUGUAUGUCUCUCUCAAAUGUCAAUAUGCCUUGUAUACUGUUGUUCAGGUUAGUUAUCAUUGUUUUAGUUCACAAUGGAGCCCCUAGUUCCACUCUUCAUACCCCUGAUAACUCCUUUGUCCCACCUCCCACACAUGCGGUGACUGCACCCAUUACAACCAGCAUGUCCAGAGAUACAAUCUCUCUCAUCAUCACCCAGUGCCUGGGCUUACCUCCGCUGUACCCGCACCCCACCAUACCCCUGUCUGCGCAUUAUGCCCUGAAUAUAUUCUACCAUGCCCAGAAACCUGCUCCUCUUAUUCUCUGUCCCCAACGCUCUAGGCGACCAGUUUUGAUAGCCUUUAGCCGCACCCUCAUACUACUCCUUCUCUGUUCCGCGGGUGAUGUGGAGGUAAACCCAGGCCCUGCAUGUCCCCAGGCACCCUCAUUUGUUGACUUCUGUGAUCGAAAAAGCCUUGGUUUCAUGCAUGUCAACAUCAGAAGCCUCCUCCCUAAGUUUGUUUUACUCACUGCUUUAGCACACUCUGCUAACCCUGAUGUCCUUGCUGUGUCUGAAUCCUGGCUCAGGAAGGCCACCAAAAAUUCUGAGAUUUCCAUACCCAACUAUAACAUCUUCCGUCAAGAUAGAACUGCCAAAGGGGGAGGAGUUGCAGUCUACUGCAGAGAUAGCCUGCAAAGUAAUGUCAUACUUUCCAGGUCCAUACCCAAACAGUUCGAACUACUAAUUUUGAAAAUUACUCUCUCCAGAAAUAAGUCUCUCACUGUUUCCGCCUGCUACCGACCCCCCUCAGCUCCCAGCUGUGCCCUGGACACCAUUUGUGAAUUGAUCGCCCCCCAUCUAGCUUCAGAGUUUGUUCUGUUAGGUGACCUGAACUGGGAUGUGCUUAACACCCCGCCAGUCCUACAAUCUAAGCUAGAUGCCCUCAAUCUCACACAAAUCAUCAAGGAACCCACCAGGUACAACCCUAACUCUGUAAACAAGGGCACCCUCAUAGACGUCAUCCUGACCAACUGGCCCUCCAAAUACACCUCCGCUGUCUUCAACCAGGAUCUCAGCGAUCACUGCCUCAUUGCCUGUAUCCGCUACGGAGCCGCAGUCAAACAACCACCCCUCAUCACUGUCAAACGCUCCCUAAAACACUUCUGUGAGCAGGCCUUUCUAAUCGACCUGGCCCGGGUAUCCUGGAAGGACAUUGACCUCAUCCCGUCAGUUGAGGAUGCCUGGUCAUUCUUUAAAAGUAACUUCCUCACCAUUUUAGAUAAGCAUGCUCCGUUCAAAAAAUGCAGAACUAAGAACAGAUACAGCCCUUGGUUCACCCCAGACCUGACUGCCCUCGACCAGCACAAAAACAUCCUGUGGCGGACUGCAAUAGCAUCGAAUAGUCCCCGUGAUAUGCAACUGUUUAGGGAAGUCCGGAACCAAUACACGCAGUCAGUCAGGAAAGCUAAGGCUAGCUUCUUCAGGUAG
rnacentral:lncRNA from 1 species